rnacentral:rRNA from 1 species
UACGUAGGGGGCAAGCGUUGUCCGGAUUUACUGGGCGUAAAGGGCUCGUAGGCGGCCAACUAAGUCCGACGUGAAAUCCCCAGCUUAACCUGGGAACUGCGUCGGAUACUGGAUGGCUUGAAUUCGGGAGAGGGAUGCAGAAUUCCAGGUGUAGCGGUGAAAUGCGUAGAUAUCUGGAGGAACACCGGUGGCGAAGGCGGCAUCCUGGACCGGUAUUGACGCUGAGGCGCGAAAGCCAGGGGAGCAAAGCGGG